rnacentral:rRNA from 1 species
UACGUAGGGCGCAAGCGUUAUCCGGAAUUACUGGGCGUAAAGAGCUCGUAGGUGGUUUGUCGCGUUGUUCGUGAAAACUCACAGCUCAACUGUGGGCGUGCGGGCGAUACGGGCAGACUGGAGUACUGCAGGGGAGACUGGAAUUCCUGGUGUAGCGGUGGAAUGCGCAGAUAUCAGGAGGAACACCGGUGGCGAAGGCGGGUCUCUGGGCAGUAACUGACGCUGAGGAGCGAAAGCGUGGGGAGCGAACAGG